UGGGGAAUAUUGCACAAUGGACGGAAGUCUGAUGCAGCAACGCCGCGUGCGGGAUGACGGCCUUCGGGUUGUAAACCGCUUUCAUCCAUGACGAAGCGCAAGUGACGGUAGUGGGAGAAGAAGCACCGGCUAACUACGUGCCAGCAGCCGCGGUGAUACGUAGGGUGCGAGCGUUGUCCGGAUUUAUUGGGCGUAAAGAGCUUGUAGGUGGUUUGUUGCGUCGGGAGUGAAAACCUAGGGCUUAACCCUGGGCCUGCUUCUGAUACGGGCAGACUUGAGGAAGGUAGGGGAGAUCGGAAUUCCUGGUGGAGCGGUGGAAUGCGCAGAUAUCAGGAGGAACACCGGUGGCGAAGGCGGAUCUCUGGACCUUUCCUGACGCUGAGAAGCGAAAGCGUGGGGAGCAAACA
rnacentral:rRNA from 1 species